UGUCUAGGGGACGGCCGCUCUGCUUUUACACUCUGCUAUAGGAGGAGGAGGUGGAUGUGGCGUAGGAGGUUGAGGAGGCGGUGACCGUGGCAACGACGACGCAUUCGGAUGUCUGCCCUAUCAACUUUCGAUGUUACUUUCUGCGCCUACCAUGGUGACCACGGGUAACGGGGAAUCAGGGUUCGAUUCCGGAGAGGGAGCCUGAGAAACGGCUACCGCAUCCAAGGAAGGUAGCAGGCGCGCAAAUUACCCACUCCUGACGUGGGGAGGUAGUGACGAUA